rnacentral:lncRNA from 1 species
UUUCGUCUGCUAUUUGCCUUUCUUUUACAUAAAUCAACCUUAACAGGUCUCUCACUCCAUUAAUGCAAUAGUAUCCAAAGGAAGUUCAGUGCCGUUGAAUGGAGAAUAAUGUGAUGCCAAGUUGAUCAAGCAGCGAGAAACUCUUGGAUGUUAUUCCCUGCAGUUCUGCCUCCCAGCACUCCCAGUAUGAAGUUCAUAACAAACUGCCAACAGCAGAUAGAGCAUCUGAGUAUGAGCUGCAGUCAGUUGGUGGGGAAGGUAUGAACAAGUUAGCUGUUGCAAUCAGUUUGUGGUGUUGCUGUUAUCCUUGAAUGUUGGUUGUUCUGCCCAAUAUUUCUUAGCAUCCCAUGCAGAACCAGAAACAAUUGACAAAAAGUUUUACAGCAGGUGAAAUCUCUUCUUCAUUGCUGACUAACAAAACACAUGGUAUUUGGUUGUGGCCAGCUGGUGAAAUCUGGCCCUUGCUUGUUGUUGGAACUUUGGAUUUUGACCCGGGGACAAUGAAGAUAGCUGGAAACUUUAGAGGUAAUAAGCCACGAGCACGAGAGGAACGAAAAAGAUGCUGCUAGUACGGCCACUCCAUCUUUCUCGUUUCCUUCCUUUUCUCCGAUCUCCCCUUUUCUUCGAACGUGAGAAGUUGUAACAUCUCUGAUAAGUCAACAAUCAUCGUUAAGCUAGCUUCGAAAAUUACCAAUGAUUCAUAGUCAAGUCAGAGUAAACUUGAAAGUCGUGCAACCUACUGUCAACUAUUUUUUUCAAACUCAUUGUAUUCUACUGUGUCAUCGAAAUGAUACAGGAUUAAUCUUAAUUAUCGGCUGUUUCUAUUGAACUUGCUAGAUCACUGACCCCAGCAUGGAACAAUCUCUCAUUCCAUCUUAUCUUGGAUAACUGAUUGGUGAUUUCAUGUGUAUAAAAGUUCCCUUGUUUACUGAACUUUAUUAAUUGCAGUCUAAUAUGAAUUUUUGUUUUAUUUACAGGUU